GCAAACUUGGUCAUUUAGAGGAAGUAAAAGUCGUAACAAGGUUUCCGUAGGUGAACCUGCGGAAGGAUCAUUAACAAAACAUUAGUGGUCUUGGCCACUUUUUCAUUGAUUCCGUGAACUAACGAUAAACCUUGGUGAGGUGGCAGAGCCACUUGGUGAGCCAUGUCACCAAAGGAAUUUGAUAACAUAAUUUUUGUCUUAUUUGCAACAUAAAGUAUAAAACUUUCAACAACGGAUCUCUUGGUUCUCGCAUCGAUGAAGAACGCAGC
rnacentral:misc_RNA from 1 species